rnacentral:rRNA from 1 species
UACGUAGGGGGCAAGCGUUGUCCGGAUUUAUUGGGCGUAAAGAGCGUGUAGGCGGCCAGAUAGGUCCGUUGUGAAAACUCGAGGCUCAACCUCGAGACGCCGAUGGAAACCAUUUGGCUAGAGUCCGGAAGAGGAGAGUGGAAUUCCUGGUGUAGUGGUGAAAUGCGCAGAUAUCAGGAAGAACACCGGUGGCGAAAGCGCUCUGCUAGGCCGCAACUGACACUCAUGGACGAAAGCUAGGGGAGCGAAUGGG